GACGAACGCUGGCGGCGUGCUUAACACAUGCAAGUCGAACGGUAAGGCCCUUCGGGGUACACGAGUGGCGAACGGGUGAGUAACACGUGGGUGAUCUGCCCUGCACUUCGGGAUAAGCCUGGGAAACUGGGUCUAAUACCGGAUAGGACUCCGGACUGCAUGGUCUGGGGUGGAAAGCUUUUGCGGUGUGGGAUGGGCCCGCGGCCUAUCAGCUUGUUGGUGGGGUGAUGGCCUACCAAGGCGACGACGGGUAGCCGGCCUGAGAGGGUGGCCGGCCACACUGGGACUGAGGUACGGCCCAGGCGCCUGCGGGAGGCAGCAGUGGGGAAUAUUGAACAAUGGGGGCAAGCCUGAUGCAGCGACGCCGCGUGGGGGAUGACGGCCUUCGGGUUGUAAACCUCUUUCAGCACCGACGAAGCGAAAGUGACGGUAGGUGCAGAAGAAGGACCGGCCAACUACGUGCCAGCCGCCGCCGUAA
rnacentral:rRNA from 1 species